CGCGGUAAUACGUAGGUGGCAAGCGUUAUCCGGAAUUAUUGGGCGUAAAGCGCGCGUAGGCGGUUUUUUAAGUCUGAUGUGAAAGCCCACGGCUCAACCGUGGAGGGUCAUUGGAAACUGGAAAACUUGAGUGCAGAAGAGGAAAGUGGAAUUCCAUGUGUAGCGGUGAAAUGCGCAGAGAUAUGGAGGAACACCAGUGGCGAAGGCGACUUUCUGGUCUGUAACUGACGCUGAUGUGCGAAAGCGUGGGGAUCAAACAGGAUUAGAUACCCUGGUAGUCCACGCCGUAAACGAUGAGUGC
rnacentral:rRNA from 1 species